UACGGGGGGGGCAAGCGUUGUUCGGAAUUACUGGGCGUAAAGGGCUCGUAGGCGGCCAACUAAGUCGGAUGUGAAAUCCCCAGGCUCAACCUGGGAACUGCAUCCGAUACUGGAUGGCUUGAAUCCGGGAGAGGGAUGCAGAAUUCCAGGUGUAGCGGUGAAAUGCGUAGAUAUCUGGAGGAAUACCGGUGGCGAAGGCGGCAUCCUGGACCGGCAUUGACGCUGAGGAGCGAAAGCGUGGGGAGCAAACGGG
rnacentral:rRNA from 1 species